UAUGGAUCACUUUAACCAGUGCUGAAAAGGAAAACACAUGUUUUGUGGAGAAAGACGGACCCCUAUUUUUAACUCCCUCCGCAAAAAGAGAGAUAAGUUUUACCGUUAUGUAUGUGUCUGUCUGUAGGUUCGCGUGUGACACCGUAGCUCUUAAACCGGUGAACCGAUUUGGAUGCAUUUUUUUUGUAAUAAUGAAGUUAGGACUUUAGAAUCUAUCUUUAGUAUCUAAAAAGAUCAAUCGAGGUGUUACCAAAAAAACAGAAGAAGGUACAUCAUGAGUCAAGGCGGUUAUGUACUUACAGGUUUUCCCUUCCUAAGCCCGACGAAGAAAGAGUCCAAGUGUGUAAGAAAAUUUUUCUGGUCACUUUUGACAUUUCCGAUCAUCAAGUGGCCAGUAGUUUUAAAGACGAAAGAAUGAAUGUGCCUCAACCUACUUGUAAAGGUAAUAGAGGUAGAAAAAGAGUGAGUAGUGAAGAAAUUAAAUAAUAAUAAGGGAACGUCUAAAGUACUAAAUAUUGUUUACUAAUUAAUUUACCCUAAAUUAAACUAAAGCUUACCUAAAAAACCUCAGAUGGGCAUCCAUUAUAUUAUGAAUGGCCCGUAUGUUAAGUGUAUAUUUUAUGUUUUAAUUUAUACCGUAAGGUGUCUGGAAUAAGAUAAAUAUUGUGGUAAGAGAAACACUUGUACUGUUUCUCUUGCCCCGAACAAAUAAACUACGUUUGUACAUGACUUGACUGUAGAUGACCUUAUACAUAAUUUAUUUGAGAUUUUUUAGUUUUACCUUUUUAUAAGAUUAAUCUUUGCUAUUUUUACUUAUUUAAAGUGUUGGUUUUUAACAGGACACCUCAAUAAUUGGCGAAUGAUCACUACUUCAGAAAAACAUAACCGGCAACGAAUGAUAAACAUGAAGCCGGGAUGUUACAAUUCCUGUCGUUUCGAAUGUUCAAAAAUUUUCCCUUAUGAAAUAAGGUUGAUAUUUUUCAACGAAUAUUGGAACUUGAAGAAAAACGAACAUCGUAGAGAGUAUUUAAAAAGAUGCGUGGAGAUGGUACCAAUAAAACGGAAGAGAGUUCUUGAUUCAUUCAGGCGGUUAUGCAGUUACAGAUAUUCUCUGCCUAAGCCUGACGGAGAAAGAGUCCAAGUGUGUAAGAAAACGUUACUGAACACUUGAUAUUUCGGAUCAUCGGAUGACCAAUAUUUUUCAAGAAGAAAGAAUGAAUGUGUCUCAACCUACUCGUAAAAGCAAUAGGGGUAGAAAAAAAUGAAGAGUGGUGAAAGAGUGAUAUAAAAAAAAAUGCAGUAGAAACUAUUUAGCAGUAUGUUAUAGAAAUUAAAUAUGAAUAAAAGAACGUUGAAAAUUUCAAAUAUAAGUUGCAAAUGAAUUUCACCCAAAUUGAAAUAAAACUUUACCUAACCCAAAAAAGCUUGUCACAAAUCCCACCCCGCGUCAUUCCAGGCGCAAAGGUGCCCAUUGCGCUUGACACAUUGAACCCUAAUGGACAACACUUACUUUUUACACCACAAAAUUCUAAUUGUAUCGUAAGGUAAGGUAAACUCAGAUAAUUAGAUACGGCAAGAGGAAAAUUCGGACAAGAAAAACACAUUUAGGGAAUCCUCAUAACGUUUCUCACUAUGUAAAUGUUUUAGGGGUAGCAGUGAUCCUCCAAACACGCACGGGCAAGCCACUGCUGAAGAUCAACAACCACAGAUACAACCUAAAGCGGCAGAAUCUGAUGGUUCGCAAGGCGUACUGGACCUGCAACAAGGCUCCGAGAGGCUGCAGGGUCAAUAUCACCACCUUUGAUGAUGUCAUCAUCAAGGUUGCUAAUGAGCAUAAUCAUCCUUAAUCUUCUGAUAAAUGAAUAACAAUUGGUGCGAUAUGGUGCAAUACGGUGUUUCGAAAUUCGGUACCAACAUACUGGUGAUACAAGGCCACCGGUUCUACAGGAACAAGAAGACGAAGACGAAGGACUACUGGGUGUGUUCGAAGCACCGAGAGGGAUGCAAGGCGAAGGCGACAACUAUUGAGGACGAAGUUCUGUCAGUCACCAAUGUGAUCCACAAUCAUUAGUGAAAUGUUUUUUUUAUCUGAAUCUCAUUCAUGUCCCAUGUAAAUUGUCUGUCUUGUUAAUUUUGUUAUUUAGAUAAUUUUUUUUUGUUUAAUUAUUAGAAUAAGAAGGUAAUGUACAUGAAUUUUUUGGUACAAGCCAACAAACUGAACUUAAUCUAAUUAAUAUACAAACAUAUUUAAUAAAGCUCAGCCCUUUAUCGCCCACUCCUUUCUUCCAG